CCACACGAAAGAGUUUUGAAAAUUAUUUUCGAGCAUCCGAGAAGACACUAUGUGACAAGAAACAGAGGUCAAAAAAAAAAAUUAAAUUGAAAAAAUUUAUCCAUAAAAUUUCAGUAAAAAAAGAAAGCAACGCAAAUGCCGGAUGGUUACAAAACUACAAAAAUCUACAAGAAUUAGAUCAGUCUCCCAAAUCGCCUACAUCUCUAUUCUCGUUCUCAACUCUGAACUUGCCCUCUCUCUGUCUCUGCAACUACAACCUACAAAAUCUACAACAAUCAGAACCCAUAUCGGCAUAUCAUUUCAGAUUGUUUAUAAAAUUAAAACCCAUAUCCUUCAGUUUCCGUCGCCCGCUGUUCCAGUUCAGGUUCGCCGUUCGAAAGCUUCAGCCUCAGGCCCAUUGUCUCUCAACUCUCAAGCCCUCUCUACUCUCUCAUAAGGAUGAUGUUGAGUAACGACUUGAAGAUCGGCAAUCGACCAAAAUGUUGAGUAAAUUUCUAGGGUUUUUGAGCCUUGUCUCACAUGGUGAUUGAUUAACAAAAAAAACCCUAGCGAUAUCUGUUUUCUCUCUCUAGGGUUUUUAUCUCAGAUGGAAGGCGUCGAUGAUGAUUUCGGCGAUAUAUACGCAGAUGUUGAAUUUUUGCUUAAAUAUGACCUAGAAAAUGAAGAAGCUGAUGAACAGAGGAUUUAGAAAGCCUUCAUCCUCUUCAUCCUCUUCUGUUUUUACUUCAAUUUCCUUAUCUAAUUCUGAUCCUCGUAACCUUCAAUAGAGUUCGAACCGUUCUUUGUCUUCUACGUACCAAUUCUGUUUGUGAACAAAGAAUUUAGAAAGCCAGCAAGUUGGCGGCCAGGUUGAAUUUCCAUUGAUCCACCUAAAUUACACUUUUAGGUGCCUCCUCAAGAGCAUUGUUGUCGGCAUAAACAAAACAACGCAUAGAAGAGAACAACCCAUCCAAGGAAGUACUAUAACAGUUUAUAACUGAUCCGAUUGCUAUGAUUGUAGUCUUACUCUAUUGCCAUUUACUCUCUCUCCCUUUUUUUUUUCUUGUAAUUUAAUGAAAUACAUUGUAUGAUUGUAUUACUCUCUGUUAUUAUUAUUACCACCAGGUUCACCACCACCACCCCAUGAUUGGCAUUGCAUUAGCUUUAGGCUUCUAAUCAUAUAUAUACACUAUCUCAUUUUUUAGGCUAUAGGCUAAAGGCCAGUAGGAAGGUGAAUGGUAAGGUUAUGGAAAUGGGUUUUAAAGUUGGUUAUGUAGUUUGAAGUUCCUAUCUAUGAAGUUGCAUUCCUCUGAUGUAUAUUUGGGUGCUUUCCAUAAAAUAUCCCUUGCCCAUGGAUUUCAAAUGCUCUUUAGGAACAAGACUGGCCAAGAAUGGGUGGCCAUAGGCCAUGAUAACCAUAACCAUAAUCCAUUCCUUUAGAGAGUGUGAUAAGUAAAGAUAUGAGUCAGCAUACUUCUUAUUUUCUUUUUCUUUUUCCUUCUUUUUAUCACAACUUGAGGGGGAUCUUCAUUGUAGUAUUCUGUUUCUGCCCCAACUAAUUCUGGAUUUAAUUUUGGUGCCUUUUCUCGAUAUUUAUUUUAGUGUCUUAUGAUUCUAUCUUGUGUGAAUGCACGUCGUACAGUUUCAAAAUGUUAUCUUCAAUUGAUGAGAGAAUUACUGGUUUAUUUUUUGUUGUUCUUUAUUCUUUCAACUUAUUUUAAAUAGAAGAAGACAAGCAUAGUUUGAUAAUCCUUAUAAAAUUUAAUUGUCAUGGCAGGCUUCCUUACUUUCACUUCUACCAACGCACCUGCUGAAAAUAUCAGAUGUCACAAAACUGACUGCAAAUGCUUUGGCUCCGCUUGUCAAUUGUUUUCAUAAUAAUUUUCAUAUUAGAACUCCAUGAAGUACAAAGAGAUCAUUUCAUUCAGCCCUCGCAUUUGCUCUUGAGACUCGUGAAGGGACUCCAAAUGAGGUGGCUGCAUUAUCUGCUGCACUAUUCAGAGCUUUGAAUCGUACAACCCGGUACGGUGUUAUAACAAAACUGAGAAUGGUAUUUUCUUUCUUUUUUUUUUUUCAACAAUCAACACCUUUUUUUAUUGUUUCCUUUUGUUGCUUUUGUUAUUUUAAAAAUUAGGUUUUGUUUUCUCUUUUUCUAUUCCUCUUUAUUUAUUUCCUUAUUUUCUGCAUGAACAUCUUGUCCUACACUGUAAGCAAUGAGAUUGCAGCAUGAGGCAUGCUUCUUCAUACUUCUUUUUACAUAAAGCUCAUCUGGAUAUAGCAUGUUAGCAUCACUUACUUCCAAUGUGAAAACGCUGUUUGCUCCAUGAAACAAAAAGGGCUUUGAUGUGAUUUGAGUUAGAAAAUUUACUAGGGUGUUUAAGGAAGUUAAAUUGCACAUAUAUAUGGUAAGGCAGUGAAACCUCUUUGAAGAGGUCAUAAUUUUAUUUUUUCUUUUUCCAUCUAUAAAUCUUUACUGCUAUAUGAAGCCAAUCUUUGCUUUAGUCUUGUCUUCUGCUUGUAGAAUUUUCUAAAGUGACAUUAGGCUUCAUUUUGAAAUCACUUCCACAGUUGCUAGGUUCACGUAGUCUCCUUUCUGUGACAGACCGACAUGUUUAAGGUGUGUUUCUGUCUAGCAUAAAUAUGAUGAUGAAGAUAUUGGUAAAAUUUAUUAAAAUACUAUAGUGCUAUACAUUGUUAAAAUAUGUGUAUCCUUCUUGGCAUUCUUAAUGGAUUAUAUUUUACCUAUCGAAGAGAUAUAUGUUAAAAAAUCAUAUACAAAUGAUGAGAUUUGAGAAUCUAUAUCCUGUUAUGCUCUUUCUUAAAUUGUUACUAUAGUUUAGGACUGAUUUGCUUUUUAGAUGUUGGUUGUUGCUGGUGCUCCUUAUGAUACAAGAGGAAGUUAUUGGUAUCAAAGACUCAUGCGCUGGGUUCCCUGAAAGAAUUUGGAGUGAACUACCGGGAAAUUCCAUUGAUAUAUAUAUAUAUAUAUAUUUGUUUAAACUAUCGGGAAAUUCCAGUAAAUGAAGAUGGUUGGGCAAGCUUGGCGGUGCUACUUCUUUUUGCAAUCUUUUGUUAGCACUUGGUUUUUUUUUUAUUUUUUUUUUUUAACAAUGAUGGAGACUUUGUACUCCAAAUUAUUCAAUGAAUGUUUUGGAUUAAUUUUUGGUGA